ACGCUGGGAAAUAUGCAUCAAAAGCCCCACCACUGCCAGGUUGCUACUGUUGGGUCCUUGAGCAAGGCCCUUAACCCCUUAAUUGCUCAGAUUCUCUACUGUAAUUUUAGGCUUGUGUUGAGUCCUCUUCACUGGGUGAAAGGCAGGAAACACCCAGAACAUCUUAUGUGC